rnacentral:tRNA from 1 species
UAGCUCAGCUGGGAGAGCGCCUGCCUUGCAAGCAGGAGGUCAGCGGUUCGAUCCCG